rnacentral:lncRNA from 1 species
CUCCCUCUCUCCCUCCCUUCCUACUAAAAACCAAUAAGGCUAGGGAGCCUAUCUGCAUAGUUCUGUGAAUGUCUCGGAACAAAGCAAUACACAGAAGCUAAUGCUCUCAUCCUGUGUAAGAUACAAAUCUUGUCACAUCAUGGACCAUCGUGGAGCAUGAAGCUAUUUCUAAUGUGAUGGGGGAAAUGUUUCUAGCAGAAGAGCAAGACAUGGUCCUGGUGCAUGAAAGGAGCCUAAGAAAGAAGAGUGAAAGCUGCACGUGUGAAGGAAAUGAAUUUUCCUCAUUGUACACAUUCCGAGAAAAAUGAGGCUAAGACUAUUUCAAAGGAUGUUCUACCUAAUUCGAAUGGGCUUUAAGUGCCAUCUUCACAAUAGCGCCAGAGUCUGGUGUCAGCAAACUGAACAAAUAGAGCUACAGGGAGCGAAUGGGGCUGGGUGCCUCUCCAAAACAUAUGCAGAUGAACUUGAGAUUUCAGAGGACGGUUAAUCCUACACAGCAGUCAAGUGCCUUCCCAGGGGGCUCCCUUCCAAACACUGGCUGCCACGUCAAACCAAAGGGGACGAGCAAUCAGACUCACCUCAAACGCCAGUUAAGAAAGCCGGCCUUACUUAAGCAAUCAAGGGCAAGUGAUCAGCCAACUCUGCUUUCUUUCCUUUCUCUUGGAUCAUUUAUAGACCUUGUGGCCGUGGCCACCACAUUGAGAAGCCCUUGGUCUCUACUUGGACUCACUAUAGCAGGU